rnacentral:tRNA from 1 species
GCACCUAUGGCCCAGUUGGAUAAGGCGAUCGCCUCCGACGCGAUAGAACGCAGGUUCAAGUCCUGCUAGGUGCA